AAUUUUUUUAUAUAAAAUCAGCCGAUAAAUUCAAAUGUAACGUUCAUUGUGUACUCUCCCGGCAUAACCUAUAACAGCUGACUUGGAAAAAUAUUUUCCAUAAUUCAGAACGUGUCAACACAGCCGAGUGGUUGUUUUAUUUUUAUGUUAUUUAUUCGAAUUAAGAUUUUACUAGCAGAAAAUAUCAAUUUAAAAACAGUUAAUCAAGUGCAAUAAAAAGACCAAGGACUACAAAUAAUUCAAAUGGAUCAAAAAUACCGGUUUGUUACAGUUACAGGAUUAAUAGAUCAAAAUAACUGUUCUGUCAAAGGACUUAAUGAUCAGGAACGUUACCAGGAUCUUUCACAUUUAGAUUUUUCUUCCUUCAACGACCAUUAUCAUCAUAGCAUGAUUGAAGUAAUGAACCACUUAGGAAGUCUUGGAUACAAAAUAGUUUCUCAACAUUCUAAUAAGGAUAAUACCCAAACAAUUUGGUUACAAAAAGAAUUAAAAAAUUCGGGAUAACUAUAACUUAUUAAAGUAUUUUUAUAUUUUUUGAGAAGAAAAA